rnacentral:lncRNA from 1 species
GUGGAUCUGGGAGGUUGGCGCCGCUGGCGGCGGGGCUUAAGCUCCGGUCGCCCAAGUCCAGCCCCACGACGCAGUGCCGACUCCCCGCCGUGCCCCCAGCCCGGCCCGGGUUGCGGAGCCCUGCUCCUGGGCCUCUGCCUGCUGCGUCCACCCUGGGGGAAGCGCCCGUCGUACCCUCCACACCGGGGGCUUCCCCUGACCCCUUAGGCCCUCCCCCUGCAGGUGCCCUCGCGCCCCUCCCGGGGUCCCCAGGGACAGUGGAUUCGGGGCCCCGGCCUCCCUGGAAUGAGAGAUGCACAGACUGGGCCGUGAUCUCCCACCGUGUCCUCACAGCCCCAAGACAGAAUGCCAUGCGGAUUGGCAGGAGACCUCACUGUGGGGUUCUUGGAGCCAACCCUCCAGGCCAUGUAGGGUCCAGCCCUACGGGACUUAGUGGGUGUUCUCCCCGUGUGCGGAGACGAGAGAUUGUAAUAAAUAAAGACACAAGACAAAGAGAUAAAGGGAAAACAGCUGGGCCCAGGGGACCACUACCAUCAAGACGCGGAGACCGGUAGUGGCCCCAAACAGCUGCGCCCGCUGAUAUUUAUUGCAUGCAAGACAAGGGGGCAGGGUAAGGAGGGUGAAUCUUCUAAGUGAUUGACAAGGUGAAGCAAGUCACGUGAUCACAGAACAGGGGGCCCUUCCCUCUUAGGUAGCCGAAGCAGGGAGAGAGAAGGCAGCAUACGUCAGCGUUUUCUUCUAUGCACUUAUAAGAAAGAUCAAAGACUUUAAGACUUUCACUAUUCCUUCUACCACUGUCUACUACAAACUUCAAAGAGGAACCAGGAGUACAGGAGGAACAUGAAAGUGGACAAGGAGCGUGACCAUUGAAGCACAGCACCACAGGGAGGGGUUUAGGCCUCCGGAUGACUGCGGGCAGGCCUGGAUACUAUCCAGCCUCCCACAAGAAGCUGGUGGAGCAGAGUGUUCCCUGACUCCUCCAAGGAAAGGGAGACUCCCUUUCGCGGUCUGCUAAGUAACGGGUGCCUUCCCAGACACUGGCGUUACCACUUGACCAAGGAGCCCUCAAGCGGACCUUAUGCGGGCAUGACAGGGCUCACCUCUUGCCUUCUACAUCACUUCUCACAAUGUCCCUUCAGCACCUGACCCUAUACCCGCAGGUUAUUCCUAGGUUAUAUUAGUAAUUAAAAGCUAAUGAUUAAUAAUGUUUAUAGUAAUGAUUGGUAAUUGUCUAUGAUCAUCUCUAUAUCUAAUUUGUAUUAUGACUAUUCUUAUUCUAAUUAUUUUCUUUAUUAUAUUGAAACAGUUUGUGCCUUCAGUCUCUUGCCCCAGCACCUGAGUAAUCCUCCACCCACAGGGCCACAGGCCCCAUGAGAUCUCUGAGGCCACAGAGUGUGUCCACACACGUGACCUCCAGGGUGAUUCGGGCCAGAGCACAGGAAUGGCCCAGGCAGAGGUGGCCUGGGCGUGGGCAGAGAUGGCUCGGGCUGGGCCUGAGGCAUCCAGGGGCUCAGCAUCGCAUCUCCUCAGGGGGGCCAUCUGAGACUGCUGGGCCAGUGAAGAGGCUUCUCCCGGGUACCCACCUGUCCUGUCCAAGAGAGAACAGCCAGCCCCACAGCCCCAAAUGUCUCUGUCCUCCAAGAGGCCAGAUGUGAAUCACAGGAAUUUACAGCCCAGCCUGGCAUGGGAUUUAUGAGUCUGCCUCCAGCCAGGGCUGGUGGGGAGUGGCCACUGUCAGCCCCCCAUUGCCGCUGAUGGAUGAGGCUGUUUCCUGUAAGACAAACUCCCUCUGUGGCAGGCAGUGGAGGGAGACACAUCCAGGCCCUAGGGCCAACCCCAUACCUGUCCCAGAGCCGGAUCCCUCGUGCCCUCACAGUCCAUGCCUCCCCUUGAUCCCCAGCCCUACACAGUGACACGCAAGCAGGAGGUGCACCCAAGGGGCCCAGCUCUUAGCCAGAGCUCUGCCUCCCACACUGCCAUCUGCACCCCCUCCCCAUGACCUUUAAAACCUUUCCAUCCCAGGGCCCAAGCCUUGGGACCAGCCCAAGAUGGGAUAUACCACACUCAAAGCCAGAAUGGAUCUCUGAGGUAGCCCAGAACACACACACGCACGCACGCACGCAUAUAUACACACACAUGCAUGCAUGCACAUACACAGUACACAGAUGAGAAACCAGGGUCCAGAGAGGAAUGGGCCUUGCCCAAAGUCACCCAGCAGCACAGUGGUGAAGCUGAGACCCCAGCCCACAAGCCCCCUGGACUGGUCAUUUCAGUGUCCGGUCACAGUGGACUGUCAUAUGGCCACAGGGGUAGUUUUCACCUCCAAAUGCAGGUGCCUCUCCAGAGAACAGACAGACCUGGGUUUGAGUCCAUGCCCCACCACUCUGUGUGUAAAGGUCAUAAACUCUCUGUGCCCGUUCCCUCACCUGAAAAAUGGGGAUCAAAAUAACCCCAACUUACCAAGGUUCUUACGAGGUUCAAGUGAGAGGAUGCAGGUAGAGCCGCAGGACAGAGUGGGCCCCUGGCACAUGCUCCCUGAGUGGUAACAAUGGUUCUCCACCAUCUCUCGUGUCUCAAGGGGCCCCGCUGCCUGAUUUGCUGCGGGCAGGAGGACAGUCAUGGUUGGGUGGGGCAGGAGGAGCAAGGAGAGUUUGAGUGUGGGACUGCAGGGCAGGAGUGAGGCCACUUCCUACUGGAGGAGACCCUGGAAGUCUCCCUGGAGGUGGUGGCAUCAAGCAGAGGAUGUAGAACUCUGUUUCUCUUGCUCUGAAGCUGACUGGGGGCUUCUUGAUUGCCACAGGGAUGGAGGGAAGCACCCUACCCUGAAAGCCUAGCCCAAGCUUCUGCCCUGGAUGACCUGAGGAGGAGUCCCUCCUUUCUCUGGGCAUCAGCAAAAUGGGGCCGGGAGGACUAGACAACACUCCCUAGAGGCACCUUUCUGCUCUGGCCUUGUUGCAAGCUGAAGAAGGUCCUCCAGACCCACCCUCUGCAGUACCCAAUUAUUGCCACUGGGCAGCAGCAGGGAGUAAAUCUGCGGUCCGGCCUCCUUUCCCUGCCGGCCAGUCCCUCUCCCAGCAUCCGGUGGUCUUUGCUCCUCCGUCCCCCCGCCAACUCGCCAGAGAGCCAGAGCUGAGCGUCCUUCACAUCCAGACAUCUGAUGCUCCCCUCAGCCCUGCAGAGAGCCAGCAUGCUGGCUGCUUUUCAGAUGGGGAAACUGAUGGCCAAGAGGUGAGGACUUGCUCAAGGUCACGCAAGAGCCAAGUGUGCCCACAGCGGAGGUGGUGUGAAAGGAGACUGCGGUCACACGGACCUGGCUGGGAUCCUGGUCUCCUCACCUCCAGCUGUGUGUCAUCGGGCAGGUCACCCACCCUCUCUGAGCCUCAAUUGAUAUAAGUGCUGAACACAUGAAGCCACCGCUUUGUUUCCAAUAGAGUUUAUGCCCCAAGAGUGCAAAGACAUGUCUGUCACUCACCUCAGCACCCCCAGAGCCUGGCGCAGGGUGGGAUUCGGAGAAUAGCGCCUGCCUCCCAGGGCCUGCCUGGCACUCAGCAGACACUGUGUCUCCUCAAACCGCAACCCCCCAACCUGGCCCCAGCCCUGGAUCAGCCUCACCUCGCCUCAUUCCCCUCCCAUCAGUCUUUCCUGCAGGACACCCACCCACCCGGCCUUGAGGGGGGGCUCCUGCUCACCUCCCCACCCCAUCCCUCUCGGCCCCCUUUCUCUGUCCUGGCCUCUCCCUCAUGUCGCUCUCUCCUGCCGAGCCCCCACUUGGCUCUACGCUGUUUACAAGAGAAUGAUGACAGUUUUUAUUUCUCUGUUUUAUCUCCCUUCCUCCCCUGAAGGGAAACGUGCUUCCAAUCUUCCAGGAAAAAUUGAAGGCUCCGGAUGAGAAAAAGCAAACAAAGGACAGUGGGACCAUGGGCGUCCCCACCCCCACCACCCGCAGGCCCCACACUCAAACCAGCGCCCGUGCCCACGCCCAUGCAGCCGUCCUCCGCCAGGCCCCAAGAACGGCUGUUACUUUGGGGUGGCCCAGGGCCACCAUCCCCCCAGGUCCUGGGAACCUGAGUGGUGAUUGGCCUUGGGGUUCCCUCCAGCAACAGUGGAACAACAGACCAGCCCCCACCCCAGCCAGUGUCCAAGAGGCUCGUGGGACUGUGAUGUCACCACCAAGCCCUGGCUGAGGUAACCCAACAUGGAGCCAGGCCUGUCUUGCCCCCUAGAGAGAAGAGAGGAACCUCAGGUGGGUCUCCUGCCAGGCACCGAGCCUCAUCCACCCUCCAACAUCUGCUCGUGGUGGGAGAGGGUGAAUUCCCACCCUCUCACGGACACAGCCUCAGACCUCCUGGAGGCCAGGGCUCCAGGUGAAGACCAAGUCUUCGUACCCCCGGACCCAGCCAGAGCCUGGCACAGGGCAGGAGCUUAGCAAAUGUUUGUUGAAUGAAUGAAUGCACGGAUGGGGGCUUUGUGUGUGAUCAAGUGCCAGGCUCCGGAGUCUAGUGACCUGAAGAUACAGAUUCAAGUCCUACAAGGAUCAAACCAGGGCUUCCUGCAAGGUCAAGCGAGAACCCCCUGAGUUGUUCAGAAGGGGCCACGCAGCAGUCGGCCAGACCUGGGAGGCCGUGCCUGACCUUCUGCAAGUCACCUCUCUGGGGGCACUACCACAGGAAAGGCAAUGUCAAGUGAUGGGACUGCUUCAUCCAAAGGUCAAUCCCAAGCUAAAUGACCCUGUCAUUUUGCAGGCCGAGGCACAAGGGAGGCCCCAUUCAUCUUCCCUGGAGUCGGCAUCCCUUUGAUUGCGGGGCCACCUCUCAUCUGAACAUCUUCACCCCCCCCCAAUAUUCCUUCUGAACCCUCCAUCCUCCUUCUCCCCUUCUCUUGGGACCAUAAACCUACCCCAAGAGUGAGUCCUAGCUCCAGGGCCAGCUCCCAAUCCUGCCUCUGUCUGGUGGCAGCUGGGGCCAGGCUGAAGGUCUGUCCUAGACUGAGCCAUAAAGGCAAAAAUAAUACUUACUCCUAAUAGAAGUAAAGCACUUCACCCUAGAUGAGCCCUGGUCCUGGUCACACACAGAACCUAGACCUUUAUUUAGAGAUGGACCAUUAAUUUGUCAUGUGGGCUAGGCAUGGUGGCUCAAACCUGUAAUCCCACUUUGGGAGGCCCAAGCAGGAGGAUCACUUGAGGCCAUGAGUUCGAGACCAGCCUAGGCAACAUAACAAGACCACGUCUCUACAAAAAGAUUUAAAAAUUAACCAGGUUUGGUGGCAUGUGCCUGUAGUCCCAGCUACUGCAGUGAACCAAGAUUGUGCCACUGCACUCCAGCCUGGGCAACGGAGCAAGAUCCUGUCACAAAAAAAAAUUAUCACGUGGCCGAAGUUAUUUCCAGGCUCCGAGCGCCAGCUUCCUCAUCUUUCCAACAGAGGGCCUUCACCUGGGCUAAGUGUUAAAUCAGAAAGCCCCUAUUCAGAGGUUGGCCUGCAGUUCCCUGACCUGGUAACACUGGGGAGCAUUGGCUGCUGUCACCUGCCAGCUCCCACCCCCACCCAACACUUACACACCAAGCAUCACUAAUUUUUGCAGCUGCCAUGAUAAAUGGCACUGUUGGCAAAAUGACAUCUUUCUAAUCUGCCACAAGACAGACGGGUCCCCGAGCUCCCACAGCCUCCCAAGAGCCAGCCCAGGCCAUCCUUGUUGAGAGGAUGGGCAGAUGCAAAGCCCAGGGCCUGGGGGCGGGUGGGAUGGAGAGGAGACCUCAGGGCCCAGAAUCAAGGACAUCCCUAGUGGGGUUUACCACAGGCUCUUUUCUAAAUAUUUAGUUGUAUGUGUGCUUUUAAAAAUAUUCCAAAGAAUAUUAUAUGCUCUGUUCCUUUCUGACCAAAGUUAGGGCUUCAAUUCAAUUUUCUUUUCUUUUCUUUCUUUUUUUUAGACAGGGUCUUGCUGUAUCGCCCAAGCUGGAGUGCAGUGGCACAAUCACAGCUCACUGCAGCCUUGACCUCCUGGGCUCAAGCGAUCCCCCCACCUCAGCCACCUGAGUAGCUGGGUCUAUAGGCGCCAGCUACCAUGCCUGGCUAAUCUUUGUAUUUUAUUUUGUAGACACGGGGUCUCGCCAUGUUGUCCAGGCUGGUCUUGAACUCUUGACCUCAAAUGAUCUGCUUGCCUUGCUCUCCCAAAAUGCUGGGAUUUCAGGCUUGGGCCACUGCACCCAGCCUCAAUUUUCACUUUAAAUUAAAACCUGGAUAUUGUUCAGGUUUAUAAGGAUGAACCAUUAGACACUGGUUCUGAGGCGGUGCUCUCUUCCUGUCACCCUCUGCUCUGCGGAACAGUCUGCCUCUGCCUGAGCCAUUAGGUCUGGGGGCUUUCUCACCCCCCUCCUCCCUCCCACUCCCUCCAUGGCUCCCACCCUCCCACCCAGCCUCUUUGCUGACCUCAGCCGCAUCCCCUCCAUGCCUCACACUGGCCUGGGACUGCCAGGUUCCUGUGUCCAGGAGUAGAGGUGAAUUGGGGCUCUGGAUGCCAAGAACAGAGGAAGGACAAAUGCCAGCCCCAGAGACCCUCACCUCCUCAAGACCAACAGGAGCUGGCGCCUGUCCGCCCAGCAGCAGCAAAGCCAGAGCGGGUGCCAGCCAGGGUGGGUAGGCACAGGCCUGGGCUUGAAGAUUGAGACAGCGCUGCCCCCUCCUGGCUAAUUCACGGCUGCUCCUCUGACAGGCACUGCCAGGCUAAGCUGUUGAGGUUGGGGACAUAGUGAGUGACCCCAAAAACAGCAUGUGACAAGCUGACCUUCCCUGCAGUCUGCCCAGCUGGGAGCUGCCUCCCACUCUGCCCAUCCUGUCCGAGCUUCUCCCAAAGCAUCUUCCGGCCCUCACACCUUCAGGGCAAAGCCCGAGGCCCCUCCCGGCUGCCCACAAUGUGGCCCCGGGUAGCAGCCUCGCCCCCUGCACCCCAGGCCCCUGCUGCUCUGUGCCUCCCCAGUUCCCUGUCACUGCACCUGCAUGCUUUGCUCUCACCUUGACCUCCACCUUCGCCCUCCCCAGCAGUCUCCUCUUGUCCUCUUAGGUCCCUCCCCGAGGAAACUCCUCUCCCAACUCCCAACCAGAGGGACUCCGCUCCUCUGCCUGCACCCCGACCUGCCCUGCCCCUGUCUCGGGGACUGCACACUGUCAGCACAGUCCCACAGUUCUGGAACUUGGGAGAACCUAGACCUCUUCCAAGCCUACCCUGUGCACUGUCUAAAGGGCAAUCCUGAGCCCAGAGAGGGGCAGGAGCUGCACAAGGCCACACAGCCUGUAAUGGCAGUUAGGACUGGAAUGCAGCUCUCCCGAGUCUCUGCCUGGGGCUCCUUGGAGGACAGACACAUGGCUUCCCCACCUGGUGAACCAGAAUGGAACUCUUCAAGGACAGGGACUGUAUCAUUCCUUCCAGUGUCCCCAGCCCCUCACCCAGAGCAGGACCCACAGGAAGCAACUGUGAACAGAAAAGGAAAAAACAAAUACAUGAAAAUGUAUCUCUAAUGUCUUCUGUGUGCCGGACACUCAGCAGGUACCGGCUCUGCUACUAGAAAUCUUGG